AUUGAACGCUGGCGGCAUGCCUUACUCAUGCAAGUCGAACGGCAGCACGGGUGCUUGCACCUGGUGGCGAGUGGCGAACGAGUGAGUAAUAUAUAGGAACAUACCCUAGAGUGGGGGAUAACGUAGCGAAAGUUACGCUAAUACCGCAUACGAACUAAGGUUGAAAGUGGGGGAUCGCCAGACCUCAUGCUCAUGGAGUGGCCAAUAUCUGAUUAGCUAGUUGGUGAGGUAAAGGCUCACCAAGGCGACGAUCAGUAGGUGGUUUGAGAGAACGACCAGCCACACUGGAACUUAGACACGGUCCAGACUCCUACGGGAGUGAUCAGUUGGGAAUUUUUGACAAUGGGGGCAACCCUGAUCCAGCAAUGCCGCGUGAGUGAAGAAGGCCCUCGGGUUGUAAAGCUCUUUUGUCAGGGAAGAAACGGUCUACUCUAAUACAGUGGGCUAAUGACGGUACCUGAAGAAUAAGCACCGGCUAACUACGUGCCAGCCGCCGCGGUAAGAC
rnacentral:rRNA from 1 species